UGGGGAAUAUUGGACAAUGGGGGGAACCCUGAUUCAGCCAUGCCGCGUGUGUGAAGAAGGCCUUAUGGUUGUAAAGCACUUUAAGCGAGGAGGAGGCUCUCUUGGUUAAUACCCAAGAAGAGUGGACGUUACUCGCAGAAUAAGCACCGGCUAACUCUGUGCCAGCAGCCGCGGUAAUACAGAGGGUGCGAGCGUUAAUCGGAUUUACUGGGCGUAAAGCGUGCGUAGGCGGCUUUUUAAGUCGGAUGUGAAAUCCCCGAGCUUAACUUGGGAAUUGCAUUCGAUACUGGGAAGCUAGAGUAUGGGAGAGGAUGGUAGAAUUCCAGGUGUAGCGGUGAAAUGCGUAGAGAUCUGGAGGAAUACCGAUGGCGAAGGCAGCCAUCUGGCCUAAUACUGACGCUGAGGUACGAAAGCAUGGGGAGCAAACAGG
rnacentral:rRNA from 1 species